GCUAUUGGCAAAGAGAUCUUGUGAAGAGAAUGAAGAUUCAUUCAUACAACAAUGAAAUCCUCAGUAAAUGUCUAAGAAGGGAGGAUCAGCCUAUCUAAGCUUGAAGAAUCUGCUGCUGAAAGGUUGACCAUCACACUGGGGCUCCCAAACUAUGGACUGGAGGGCACUGAAAAGAACACUGGUUUUGGAGCAAAGCAGCUGGUUUAGAAUUUAUACUCUGUG